rnacentral:rRNA from 1 species
CCUUGAGUGGGGAAUAANUCCGCGAAAGCGGAGCUAAUACCGCAUACGAUCGCGUGCUCACGGGUGCGCGAGGAAAGUCGCAAGGCGCUCGAGGAUGGGCCUGCGUCCGAUUAGCUAGUUGGUGAGGUAAAGGCUCACCAAGGCGACGAUCGGUAGCUGGUNUGAGAGGAUGAUCAGCCAGACUGGGACUGUGACACGGCCCAGACUCCUACGGGAGGCAGCAGUUAGGAAUNUUGGGCAAUGGGCGAAAGCCUGACCCAGCAACNCCGCGUGGGUGANNNAGGCCUUCGGGUCGUAAANCCCUUUUGCACGNGNAGAUAANGACGGUNCCGUGCGAAUAAGCCCCGGCUAAUNACGUGCCAGCAGCCGCGGUAAUACGUAGGGGGCGAGCGUUGUCCGGAUUUAUUGGGCGUAAAAGGCUUGUAGGUGGCCACGCCAAGUCGGAUGUGAAAUCUCCCGGNUCAACUGGGAGGGGUCAUUCGAUACUGGCGGGCUCGAGGCCGGUAGGGGGAAGUGGAAUUCCCGGUGUAGUGGUGGAAUGCGUAGAUAUCGGGAGGAACACCAGUGGCGAGGGCGGCUUCCUGGACCGGUUCUGACACUGAGGAGCGAAAGCGUGGGGAGCGAUCCGGAUUAGAUACCCGGGUAGUCCACGCCGUAAACGUUGGGCACUAGGUGUCGGGGGUAUCGACCCCUCCGGUGCCGCAGCUAACGCAUUAAGUGCCCUGCCUGGC